GGCUCAGAUUGAACGCUGGCGGCAUGCCUUACACAUGCAAGUCGAACGGCAGCACGGGGCAACCUGGUGGCGAGUGGCGAACGGGUGAGUAAUGCAUCGGAACGUGCCAUUGAGUGGGGGAUAACGUAGCGAAAGUUGCGCUAAUACCGCAUAUUCUGUGAGCAGGAAAGCAGGGGACCGCAAGGCCUUGCGCUCUUUGAGCGGCCGAUGUCAGAUUAGCUAGUUGGUGAGGUAACGGCUUACCAAGGCGACGAUCUGUAGCGGGGUCUGAGAGGAUGAUCCGCCACACUGGAACUGAGACACGGUCCAGACUCCUACGGGAGGCAGCAGUGGGGAAUUUUGGACAAUGGGCGCAAGCCUGAUCCAGCCAUGCCGCGUGAGUGAAGAAGGCCUUCGGGUUGUAAAGCUCUUUCGGCCGGGAAGAAAUCGCAUGGGUUAAUACCCUGUGUGGAUGACGGUACCGGAAUAAGAAGCACCGGCUAACUACGUG
rnacentral:rRNA from 1 species